rnacentral:rRNA from 1 species
AUUGAACGCUGGCGGCAUGCCUUACACAUGCAAGUCGAACGGCAGCACGGGAGCAAUCCUGGUGGCGAGUGGCGAACGGGUGAGUAAAGUAUCGGAACGUGCCCAGUCGUGGGGGAUAACGUAGCGAAAGUUACGCUAAUACCGCAUACGAUCUAUGGAUGAAAGCGGGGGAUCGCAAGACCUCGCGCGAUUGGAGCGGCCGAUAUCAGAUUAGGUAGUUGGUGGGGUAAAGGCUCACCAAGCCGACGAUCUGUAGCUGGUCUGAGAGGACGACCAGCCACACUGGGACUGAGACACGGCCCAGACUCCUACGGGAGGCAGCAGUGGGGAAUUUUGGACAAUGGGCGAAAGCCUGAUCCAGCCAUGCCGCGUGCAGGAUGAAGGCCUUCGGGUUGUAAACUGCUUUUGUACGGAACGAAAAGGUUUGGGCUAAUAAGCUGAGCUCAUGACGGUACCGUAAGAAUAAGCACCGGCUAACUACGUGCCAGCAGCCGCAGUAA